rnacentral:rRNA from 1 species
GACGAACGCUGGCGGCGUGCUUAACACAUGCAAGUCGAACGAAGUGGCGAACGGGUGAGUAACGCGUAAUCAACCUGCCCUUCAGAGGGGGACAACAGUUGGAAACGACUGCUAAUACCGCAUACUGAAGGAGGGGAUUGCGUCUGAUUAGCUAGUUGGAGGGGUAACGGCCCACCAAGGCGAUGAUCAGUAGCCGGUCUGAGAGGAUGAACAGCCACAUUGGGACUGAGAUACGGCCCAGACUCCUACGGGAGGCAGCAGUGGGGGAUAUUGCACAAUGGGCGAGAGCCUGAACCAGCCAAGUAGCGUGCAGGAUGACGGCCUAUGGGUUGUAAACUGCUUUUAUGUGGGGAUAGGUACCACAUGAAUAAGGACCGGCUAAUUCCGUGCCAGCCGCCGCGGUAAUAC